AUUGAACGCUGGCGGCAGGCCUAACACAUGCAAGUCGAGCGGAUGAAGGGAGCUUGCUCCUGGAUUCAGCGGCGGACGGGUGAGUAAUGCCUAGGAAUCUGCCUGGUGGUGGGGGAUAACGUCCGGAAACGGGCGCUAAUACCGCAUACGUCCUGAGGGAGAAAGUGGGGGAUCUUCGGACCUCACGCUAUCAGAUGAGCCUAGGUCGUAUUAGCUAGUUGGUGGGGUAAAGGCCUACCAAGGCGACGAUCCGUAACUGGUCUGAGAGGAUGAUCAGUCACACUGGAACUGAGACACGGUCCAGACUCCUACGGGAGGCAGCAGUGGGGAAUAUUGGACAAUGGGCGAAAGCCUGAUCCAGCCAUGCCGCGUGUGUGAAGAAGGUCUUCGGAUUGUAAAGCACUUUAAGUUGGGAGGAAGGGCAGUAAGUUAAUACCUUGCUGUUUUGACGUUACCAACAGAAUAAGCACCGGCUAACUUCGUG
rnacentral:rRNA from 1 species